GGAUGACAGUGGAAUGUGCCUUUGACAGAUUAAAGGUGUGCUGGGGAGGCCUUUAUGGCAGCUCUUGGUGACAUCACCGGGUAGCAGAGAAUCUCACUACCCACACUCAGAGCUCAGUGUGGACUGUCUGAGCCUAUUACAAGACCUGAGGAUGCAGACAGGAAUAGCAGGUUGUUUUUUUUUAAAUCUAUAUAUUUAAACUGAGUAACUGGCUAAUUAGUUAGCUAACUAGCUAACAGAGUGAUUUCAGCAGAGGAGGAGGAAGAGUCUGCAUGGAUUCCAGCUGAAGAUUUCUACGAGCAAGUGGAGGGAAGUUACUGUUGCAGUGCUUUUGACCAGCAGCCUGUAUAGAUUUUGGUGAUCAAAGACUGUAACUGAGACUCAGGUGAACUCAAUCUAAGAUUUUGGGAACUCAGUUACUUCUCACUGUAUUUCUGUGCGGACUGACCUGUUUAGAUUUAAUGUUGCGUUCUUUAUUUAUGUUUAUGUAUCGCUGAAGGUAAUAUA